AGCUUUUGCUAAAAUGAUGCUUGUCAAUUGAUAGUUAUGAGCUUCCAUUCUCUAAGGAAAUUAGUAAAAUCGCUUGUCUGUUAAUUUGGAUUGACUUAGACAGAAUAACAUUUCAUUUUACUCUGCCUUAUGUGUAGUAAAAAUUACUACUUUUGCCGGGCGUGGUGGCGUAUGCCUGUAAUCCCAGCACUCGGGAGGCUGAGGCAGGAGGAUCACUGUGAGUUCGAGACCAGCCUGCACUACAUAGUGAGCUCCAGGUCAGACCAACUACACAGUGAGACCCUGUCUCAAAAAAUUAAAAAAAAAAAUUACUACUUUUGCCGGGCGUGGUGGCGUACGCCUGUAAUCCCAGCACUCGGGAGGCUGAGGCAGGAGGAUCACUGUGAGUUCGAGACCAGCCUGCACUACAUAGUGAGUUCCAGGUCAGUCUCAACAACAUGGUGAGACCCUGUCUCAAAAAAUUAAAAAAAAAAAUUACUACUUUCUGUUUGUUUAACAAGAAACUACCCACUUUAAUAGCCUACUUAAAGGAGAAUGAGCCAACUGAAUAAUUUUCUUUUUGGGUCCACAGAAUGUGUUUAACCGGCAACUCUGUUUAGAACAUGAUGAGAAGCUGGUGUCCUAUCUGUCUCUGUUACGGGACAUCGAAAUGAGGACCAAACAGAUUCAACCUUUGGGACUUAACCUGGCAGAAUUACAGGACCUGAUGUGUCAGGCAAAGGUAUUAGACGGGGAACUACAGGACCUGUCCACCUCGGUGAGUCAGGAAUUGGAGUCUGUGAACCCGAUUAUUGUCAGCCAGCCUCAAGAAGUCCCUGCUCAGCUGUUGAAAGCUCUAGCAAAAGAUGCCAAGAACCUUCAGAAGUCUCUCAGCUCUGUGAGCAACAGUUGGAGCACCAGACUGCUCCAUCUCCAGAAUACUGUGGAAGUAAAAAAGACUAUGGUGUUAAAUCAGCACACACAGCUAGAAGGCAAACUUCAAGAUCUUAGAGCCUGGGUUGGCAACACCAGUCUUAUUCUGAACAACAAAGAAUGUGACGAUGAAACAGAUGUCGACAGCCUGACUCAUUCUCUCCAACAGUAUAAAGUAAAUUUUCUCCCUAUUCCCAAGCAUGUU
rnacentral:lncRNA from 1 species